rnacentral:piRNA from 1 species
UCAGAUUGAAAUCUAAAAUCU